rnacentral:tRNA from 1 species
UUGUUUGAUGGCUGAGAAUAAAGCGGUAGCCUGUAGAUUUAUUAACGGAGUUAAGUCUCCUCAACAAA